AGUGAGGGUAGAGGCGCAAACUUCAAGAGUAAGUAUGUUAAAAAGGAUGAGCUUUUAUGAUGCAUACUAAAAGGGGAUUUUGCCGAAGCUAAAUUAAAACACUCAUCUUUUGUUUAGCUGGGACUGUAUUGAAUAAGUACAGUACUGUCAUAUAGCAUUGGCUAUAUGGAGGGCUAUCUCACGC
rnacentral:ncRNA from 2 species